AUACCUUCUCGGCCUUUUGGCUAAGAUCAAGUGUAGUAUCUGUUCUUAUCAGCUUAAUUUGUUGCAUUAGUGUGAUUGUCAGGCCUUCGACUACCCUGA